CAGGUCCACCGUACCCGCACUUAUUCUGCUUCGAGACGCGGCCGCUGCGUCUUCUUCGUUGGGGUUUGCUGUUCUCGCACAGCCGUGAAGAUAAUACAACGUCAGCAGCAGCGAGUCGCUGAGGGAGUAAGCAAUGGCGGACGUCUCGUCGGAUCCCGGAAGGUGGAGGGACGUCGACAAGCUCCUCGCCCGCCCCGGCAACAUCGUCGGGCAGGACUUCGAGCCCAGCCCCACCCUGAGGGAGGACAUCGGGGAGAUCGCGAGGGUGCUUGUGGUCGGGGCCGGCGGUUUGGGCUGCGAGCUGCUCAAGGACUUGGCCUUGUCAGGAUUCAAGAACAUCGAUGUCAUUGAUAUGGACACCAUCGAGGUCUCCAAUCUCAACCGACAGUUCCUUUUCAGGCUUCAGGAUGUUGGGAAGUCCAAGGCAGAAGUUGCAGCAGAGCGUGUUAUGAAAAGAAUUAGUGGGGUGAAUAUUACCCCUCAUUUUUGCAGGAUUGAGGAUAAGGACAUAGACUUCUAUAAUGAUUUCAAUAUAAUUGUCCUUGGUCUUGAUUCAAUUGAUGCUCGAAGCUAUAUAAAUUCCGUUGCUUGUGGCUUCCUUGAGUAUGAUACUGAUGACAAGCCUCUUCCCGAGACAAUUAAACCCAUCGUAGAUGGUGGAACUGAAGGUUUUAAGGGCCAUGCUAGAGUAAUUUUGCCAGGAAGGACACCUUGUUUUGAGUGCAACAUCUGGCUUUUCCCACCACAAGUGAAGUUUCCUCUAUGCACUUUAGCAGAGACACCUAGAACUGCUGCUCAUUGUAUUGAGUAUGCACAUUUGAUCAAAUGGGGCGAGGUCCAUCAUGGGAAAGAUUUUGAUGCUGAUGAUCCUGAACAUAUGCAGUGGGUUUACUCACAGGCCCUCAAGAGAGCUGAACUUUUUGGUAUUACUGGUGUAACAUAUUCUCUGACACAGGGUGUGGUGAAGAAUAUAAUUCCAGCUAUUGCAUCUACGAAUGCAAUUAUAUCUGCUGCCUGUGCAUUGGAAGCCUUGAAGAUAGUGUCUGGAUGCAGCAAAACUUUAUGCAACUAUUUCACGUACAAUGGAACAGAGGGAACACACAUAAAAGUAACCGAUUUUGUCAGAGACACAGAUUGUCUAGUGUGUGGGCCUGGAACACUUGUUGAACUGGACACUUCCACUACGCUUUUGCAGUUCAUCAGAUUACUUGGCGAACAUCCUAACAUUCGUCUGUCAAAAGCUAGUGUCACAUGUCGAGGAAAAAAUCUUUACAUGCAGUCUCCCCCGGUGCUAGAAGAAAUGACACGAUCAAAUCUCCAGCUUCCCCUGUUUGACCUCAUGGGUAAAGUUGCAAAGGAUGUCAUUCAUGCCAGUGGUACAUCCGAGAAAAAUGACAAGAAAACAUCGUGCCUGAGGAAACUGCGAGUUGUCUUUAAAGGGGUUGCAGAUGGGAUCACGAGUAUGGAUACAACCGAUGGCUCGUGAAGCUUCUCAACUGUGGUGCCUACCGUGGUAAUCCAUUUGGGAACUAUAUAGAAGUGUUUUUAGCUUUCCGAGCAUCAGGAAGCCUUCCUGUGACAUUUUCUUCGAUGUUAUGUGGGACAAUUUUCUCUAAUUUUUUUUCUGAGUCAUUACUGCAGCAUGGCAAGAAAGAGAGUUGGAGUCUGAAGGUUUUCAAUGGAAGAGUUAAAAGAGCUGAUCAGGAAAACUUACAAAACAAGAUGAUCAACUUUGCCUCCCCCCAACUCUCAAGAUGAUCAACUAUAGGAGCAACCGGUAGCAUAUCCAGACACCCAAAAACACCAUAUGAAGCUUA